AUGCUCGCUUUGGCAGCACAUACACUAAAACUGCAGUGACACACAGAAGAUUAGCUUGGCCCUGCACGAGGGUGACACGCCAGUUUGUUAUGUGUUCCAUAUUUUU